rnacentral:rRNA from 1 species
AUUGAACGCUGGCGGCAGGCCUAACACAUGCAAGUCGAACGGUAACAGGAAGCAGCUUGCUGCUUUGCUGACGAGUGGCGGACGGGUGAGUAAUGUCUGGGAAACUGCUUGAUGGAGGGGGAUAACUACUGGAAACGGUAGCUAAUACGGCAUAACGUCGCAAGACCAAAGAGGGGGACCUUAGGGCCUCUUGCCAUCGGAUGUGCCCAGAUGGGAUUAGCUAGUAGGUGGGGUAACGGCUCACCUAGGCGACGAUCCCUAGCUGGUCUGAGAGGAUGACCAGCCACACUGGAACUGAGACACGGUCCAGACUCCUACGGGAGGCAGCAGUGGGGAAUAUUGCACAAUGGGCGCAAGCCUGAUGCAGCAAUGCCGCGUGUAUGAAGAAGGCCUUCGGGUUGUAAAGUACUUUCAGCGGGGAGGAAGGGAGUAAAGUUAAUACCUUUGCUCAUUGACGUUACCCGCAGAAGAAGCACCGGCUAACUCCGUG